CUGGGACAAAUGACGUGUGUCUUCGUGUGUCAACGUGUGGUCACGACAGGGCGUUAAAUUCAAAGCUACCCCAAAUAGUGACACAGUAUGUGAGGAUUGUGCUCAUGGAGAAACGUUUUCACAUGUUUUAUCAACAACAGAACAGUGUCUUCCAUGCUCAACUUGCAGCGCGGACGAAAUCCUUUAGCGUUCUUGCACCGCAACUGAGGAUACACUCUGUUCUGUCCGAACUAAAACUGAUUGCAAGGAACUUGUUUGGGGCCUUGGUGUUGAAAAUUCCUUGCUGGUCCUGGUGUUUGUAACACUUGGUGUUGGGAUUUGUGUCUUCUGUUGCUGUC